AUUGAACGCUGGCGGCAGGCCUAACACAUGCAAGUCGAGCGGAUGAAGGGAGCUUGCUCCUGGAUUCAGCGGCGGACGGGUGAGUAAUGCCUAGGAAUCUGCCUGGUAGUGGGGGAUAACGUCCGGAAACGGGCGCUAAUACCGCAUACGUCCUGAGGGAGAAAGUGGGGGAUCUUCGGACCUCACGCUAUCAGAUGAGCUUAGGUCGGAUUAGCUAGUUUGUGGGGUAAAGGCCUACCAAGGCGACGAUCCGUAACUGGUCUGAGAGGAUGAUCAGUCACACUGGAACUGGGCCACGGUCCAGACUCCUACGGGAGGCAGCAGUGGGGAAUAUUGGACAAUGGGCGAAAGCCUGAUCCAGCCAUGCCGCGUGUGUGAAGAAGGUCUUCGGAUUGUAAAGCACUUUAAGUUGGGAGGAAGGGCAGUAAGUUAAUACCUUGCUGUUUUGACGUUACCAACAGAAUAAGCACCGGCUAACUUCGUG
rnacentral:rRNA from 1 species